rnacentral:rRNA from 1 species
AAAACAUGUCUUUUUGUGGAAAUUGAAAGGUUUGAUCUGCCCACUGAUUGUUUAAAUGGCUGCGGUAAUUUGACCGUACAAAGGUAGCAUAAUCAUUAGUUUAUUAAUUGUGAACUUGUAUGAAUGAUUGGACGAGAAUAUAUCUGUUUCUUUUUUAGUUAAUGAAUUUUAUUUGUCUUUGAUAAAGAGGAUAUGUUUAUGAAAGACGAGAAGACCCUGUAGAGUUUUAUUGAAUGGCUUUGUUAGGUAUAUUUUUAGUUAUUAAUUUGGUUGGGGUAACUUAAAGUAUUAAAUGCUUUAUUUUUUAUUAUUGUUGGAUAAGUAUAAUGAGCUAAAAAUUAAUUGGUUGAUUAAAUUACCUCAGGGAUAACAGCAUAAUUUGAUUAAGGAGUUCUUAUCUAUAAUUUAGUUUGUGACCUCGAUGUUGGAUUAAGAAAAUUUUUUGGUGCAGGAGCUUAAAAAAUAAGUCUGUUCGACUUUUAAAUUCUUACGUGAUCU